ACAAAAUAUGUGUAAUUACUUUCUCAGGGUAUCUAUUUUUUUUUACCACUUUUUUAAUACGUGUGUUUUUUUUUAAAUAAUGUAUAGAUAGAUAGAUAGAUAGAUAGAUAGAUAGAUAGAUAGAUAGAUAGAUAGCUGCUGCUCUUACCUUAUUCUUUACAUUUUCU